rnacentral:rRNA from 1 species
CUCUUAAAAUAUUUUAAGUAGUCUCUGCCCUAUGAAUAAUUAAAUGGCCGCAGUACUCUGACUGUGCAAAGGUAGCAUAAUCAUUUGUUUUUUAAUUAAAAACUAGAAUGAAAGAGUUGACGUGAAAUAAACUUUUUAAAUUUAAAAUUAAAUUGACAUCAAAAUAAAAAGGUUUUGAUAAGAUAGAAAGACGAUAAGACCCUAUGAAAUUUUAUUUUUAAAAUAAAAUUAGAUAAGACCCAGAUUUUAUUUAAAAAUUUAACUGGGGCGGUAAAUAUAAUAUAUCUAUUUUAUAUAGAAGACUAAAAUGUUAAUUUUUAAACCACUAAUAUGUAAAAUUGAACAAAUUACUCUAGGGAUAACAGCACUAUUUCUCUAGAUAGAACAUAUAGACAGAGGAGUUUGUGACCUCGAUGUUGAAUUGAAAAUACUUAUUAGAGCAAAA